AACGCUAGCUACAGGCUUAACACAUGCAAGUCGAGGGGCAGCAUUUUAGUUUGCUUGCAAACUAAAGAUGGCGACCGGCGCACGGGUGAGUAACACGUAUCCAACCUGCCGAUAACUCGGGGAUAGCCUUUCGAAAGAAAGAUUAAUAUCCGAUGGUAUAUUAAAACCGCAUGGUUUUACUAUUAAAGAAUUUCGGUUAUCGAUGGGGAUGCGUUCCAUUAGUUUGUUGGCGGGGUAACGGCCCACCAAGACUACGAUGGAUAGGGGUUCUGAGAGGAAGGUCCCCCACAUUGGAACUGAGACACGGUCCAAACUCCUACGGGAGGCAGCAGUGAGGAAUAUUGGUCAAUGGACGAGAGUCUGAACCAGCCAAGUAGCGUGAAGGAUGACUGCCCUAUGGGUUGUAAACUUCUUUUAUAUGGGAAUAAAGUAUUCCACGUGUGGAAUUUUGUAUGUACCAUAUGAAUAAGGAUCGGCUAACUCCGUGCCAGCAGCCGCGGUAAUACGGAGGAUCCGAGCGUUAUCCGGAUUUAUUGGGUUUAAAGGGAGCGUAGGUGGAUUGUUAAGUCAGUUGUGAAAGUUUGCGGCUCAACCGUAAAAUUGCAGUUGAAACUGGCAGUCUUGAGUACAGUAGAGGUGGGCGGAAUUCGUGGUGUAGCGGUGAAAUGCUUAGAUAUCACGAAGAACUCCGAUUG
rnacentral:rRNA from 1 species